CCUAGAGUUGUAGGCUUUGCCUGCUAUCUCUCACCCAUGUCUUUUGAGUACCUUCGUUUCCUCGGCGGGUCCGCCCGCCGAUUGGACAAUUUAAACCAUUUGCAGUUGCGAUCAGCGUCUGAAAAAACUUAAUAGUUA
rnacentral:misc_RNA from 1 species